rnacentral:rRNA from 1 species
CCUACGGGAGGCUGCAGUGAGGAAUAUUGGUCAAUGGACGAGAGUCUGAACCAGCCAAGUAGCGUGAAGGAUGACUGCCCUAUGGGUUGUAAACUUCUUUUAUAUGGGAAUAAAACGUUCCACGUGUGGGAUUUUGUAUGUACCAUAUGAAUAAGGAUCGGCUAACUCCGUGCCAGCAGCCGCGGUAAUACGGAGGAUCCGAGCGUUAUCCGGAUUUAUUGGGUUUAAAGGGAGCGUAGGUGGAUUGUUAAGUCAGUUGUGAAAGUUUGCGGCUCAACCGUAAAAUUGCAGUUGAAACUGGCAGUCUUGAGUACAGUAGAGGGGGGCGGAAUUCGAGGUGUAGCGGUGAAAUGCUUAGAUAUCACGAAGAACUCCGAUUGCGAAGGCAGUUCACUGGACUGCAACUGACACUGAGGCUCGAAAGUGUGGGUAUCAAACAGGAUUAGAUACCCCUGUAGUC